AUUGAACGCUGGCGGAAUGCUUUACACAUGCAAGUCGAACGGCAGCAUAGGUGCUUGCACCUGAUGGCGAGUGGCGAACGGGUGAGUAAUACAUCGGAACGUGCCCAGUCGUGGGGGAUAACGUAGCGAAAGUUACGCUAAUACCGCAUACGAUCUACGGAUGAAAGCGGGGGAUCGCAAGACCUCGCGCGAUUAGAGCGGCCGAUGCCUGAUUAGCUUGUUGGUGGGGUAAAAGCCCACCAAGGCGACGAUCAGUAGCUGGUCUGAGAGGACGAUCAGCCACACUGGGACUGAGACACGGCCCAGACUCCUACGGGAGGCAGCAGUGGGGAAUUUUGGACAAUGGGGGCAACCCUGAUCCAGCAAUGCCGCGUGAGUGAAGAAGGCCUUCGGGUUGUAAAGCUCUUUUGUCAGGGAAGAAACACCGGCUCUAACACAGUCCGGGAAUGACGGUACCUGAAGAAUAAGCACCGGCUAACUACGUG
rnacentral:rRNA from 1 species